GUCUAGGGAGAAGAAUGUGGGAACUUCAAACAAUAACUUAAUGAUGGUUCAGGAAAUUCAGGAAAGACAGGCUGCUGUGGCUUUCUGCCCUUGGAGGAAGCCUCGAUGCAUUGCCCUUUGCAUCUGGAAUGAAAAGUUUGCUCAUGAAGCUGGAGGAAAACUUUAUAUUUUCAGAAGGUGACACCUGAGCCUGCUUGAAUCAGCCUGUCCCUCUGUUUCUCCCAAAGAGUUCUAUUUUUCCUCAUUCUGAAGCCCUAGGUUCUAACCUGUUCUUGACUCACACUGGCCCACACUGCUGUAUCAUCUGCUUGGCUAACACUCAGCCAGAUUUCACCUGGGCAUUGGGGUUACUUCUAAGACCGACUGCCUCUUCAUCCUGUCUGCAGCUGCUUCUUUCGUUGUCCUGAGUUUGUAUAUUUUGAUCUUCUUGAGUAUCCCAGAUCUAAUGCUUACUCCUGGUGGUUCGUGUCAGAAUUGGACUGAACUGUGGGACACCCAGUUGGUGUUAGAGAAUUGCUGGGGGACCAGGUAAGAACUUUGGAGGUACUGACCCUAAAAACUCUCUUCUGAAAAGCGGCCAAGCACCCAGUCUCAGCUGUCUCCACAAGGCACUUCAAAAACAGUUGAAGACCGAGCAUAAUAUUCAACAGAUCCUUCUGAAGUGAAAGGAGAUAUAUCCAUAGA